rnacentral:lncRNA from 1 species
GGUGGUGCUCCCUCACACACACAAGAGAGCAGCUCUGUCCAAUACAGAGGCCUUGUGGCUACUGAGUGCCUGAACUGUGGCCAGUCUACACUGAAAGGGGCUGUGUGUGAAAAAUACGUACUGGGUUUAGAAGACCUAGCACAGAAAAGAAUGUAAAGUAUCCAAUUACUAAUUUUUAAUAUUGAUGACAUAUCAGAAUGAUUAUAUUUUGGAUAUAGUGGGCUAAAUAAAAUAUAUCAUUAAGCUUCCUUGCACCUGUUAAAAAAAGCAACCACAAGAAAAUUAUAGUCACAUAUGUGCUUGUGGGAUUUCUGUUGAACAGCACUGCUCUGGAAUGUGAGUUCUUUGAAGGCAGAGACCAUCUCUGUACUGCUGACUGUGGUCCAAGAGCCAGAGCAGGGCCUGACAUACAAGAGUUUCUCAACACAUAAUUGUGGAUAAUUAAAUGAAUGAAUAAACGAAUGACCAAAUCCAAUCCAACUCUGAAUCUGCUCGUCUGGUCCCUGUGAACAUAGGAUUGGAUGUAAUUUUCACCUUGCCUUGUCUCUCUGGGCAGUUCUUCAAUGGCUGAGGCUUACAGAGAGAAUGCAUGCCGCACAGUGCUAGCUAAUGGAGAGGCUGGAUGUGUGGUGGAAUUUGGAGAAUAAAAAUGGCCAGAGUAUUUCCAACCACAAUGGCAGUGACCACUUACUGGAUACAAAUUCUGUGCCUGGCAUCAUUCUAGGCACAUUAUAUGGAGUGACUCAUUUUAAUUCUAACAACCUAUGACAUCAGUCCCACCAUCAACUCUAUUUGACAGACAGAGGAAAUUAAAGCUCAGACAGAUAAAAUUAUGCCCCCAGGGUUACAGAGCUGUUUUUUUUCCGAGUUCUGUCUGACAUGACACUUGCACUCUUCACCACCAUCACAGAACACAGAGAAGAGGGGACUGGGGGUCCUGCCAACACAGGGUGACACUGAACCAGGUCUGUUCAAUUCUGAGGCCCCAGCUCCUGAAAGCAGGUGGCCCCAGCCCUCCAGGAUUUGGAAGACUCAUUGUCUGUGUCUGGUACCGUGGAGCAUUUGGCCACAUAUCGUCUGUGCAUCUAGACAAGUCCUGGCAUGCAUCCAGCCAUAUCUUGCCCAUGCAUCUUCUUCACCAGAUGGCGGGACCACCCUCUGUACCUAUGAUGUGGCAAUGACUGCACAGAGUUGGAUCACUAGAGGGCAAUAUCGGCCAAGAGAAAGAAGAAUUCUUCACCACCGUUUCUAGGACUGGUGAAGGUGCUGUGCUGGAGAGAGCAUGUGGAGAGACACCACAGAGAGUGAUGUCCAAGGAUCCUCUGCUGUUCUAGCCUCCAGAUGUUUGGUACCAAAUGGAGAGUGAGUGAGGCUUCCAACCCCACCUUUGAGCCACCCCAGCUGAUCCCAGUAGAGCAGAGAUGAGCUGUCCCCACCAAGUCUUGCCCAGAUUGCAGAUCUGUGAACAAAUAAGAAUUUUUGCUUGAAGCCUCUAUGUUUUGGGGUACUUGGUCACGUAGCCCUAGGGCUAACUGAAGUAUAGUGAGAAGUGACAAGAUUCAAGGUUGUAUAGCUGCUUAGGGGAAGAACAAAGAAAGUACACUCUCCUUGCAUUCAAAGGAUAUUUCUUCAAUUUGCUUGCAGUGUGACCUUUGGCAAGCUACUGAACCUCUCUGUGCCUCAGUUUUCUCAUCUGUAUGAUAGGGAUGAAGAUGGUAUUUCUUCAGAAGGUAGUGAUGAGGAAUAAAUAUCUCAUUCUUGGCAUGUAGGAAAAAGCUAGUAAGUAGCUGGGUUGGGGUUUCAAUUCAGGCAGUCUAACCCUAGACUCUUUACUGGUAAGCUCAGGUCCAGAACAUUCCCACCAAUCCCUGAAAAGGAGGCCAGACGGCAAUAUCCCAGGUACUCCCAUUAUUUUCCCCCAUACGGCAUGAUUCUGAGUCCUCCUUGGCCGCCCUUCUCUGUUCACUGGGCCUUGAUACAUGAUUCUCUGAACUGAAGGCCGCACCAUCACU